CAGCAGCCGCGGUAAACCGUAGGAGGCGAGCGUUAUCCGGAUUUAUUGGGCGUAAAGGGCAUGCAGGUGGUUUCGUUAGUCGGAUGUGAAAGCCUCUGGCUUAACUAGAGGAGGUCGUUCGAUACUGCGAAACUAGAGGUCGGGAGAGGAAAGUGGAAUUCCCGGU
rnacentral:rRNA from 1 species